rnacentral:lncRNA from 1 species
UUGAACUUUCUCCUUGUUCAGAGCCUCUCAGACUGAGGCUCCAAGCAGAGGCAUUCAGGGCCAGGAUUUCAAAGGGUGAGGGCUGUGUUUGUGCACACAAUAUUUGAAUGCACAUUCACUGCAUGCUUAAUCUCCCUCACGUGCAGAGGAAAAUGGGUAGAUUUGCAUUUGUAAGAUAGCCCUGGCAUGCCCAAGAGCUCAUUCAGCUGUGGCUGCCAUCUCCCACUUUGGUGCUCCUUGGGACUGCGCUUGUCCCUUUUGCUGGCAGAAAGGACAAGUGUGAGGCCUGAGGAGGAAUAAAUUAGAUUUUAAUCUUUGGCGAUCUGCCCUUCUGCUUUUUCUAGCCACUGGGGCCCUUGUUUCUAUGGCUUCCUGAGCCUUGAGUGCCCUUGUCCAUGCUUGGCUUCCCAGCGCCCACGUGCAGGCUCCCUCUCAUCAAAGGCCUAGGUCAAUCCGAGGAGAUCUCUGGAGGAAGUCCAUCCAUCCUGUUCCUACGCAGUCAGGAUAGGAUUUUCUGCAGACUGUACUAUUGGAAAAAGGUAAAAUGCAAAGUGGAAGAGGGAGAAACCCAGAGAAAUAGCUGCAUGGUCAGAUGGCUCAAGGGAAAAAAGAAAAAAGAAAAAAGAAAAAAGAAAAAAGAAAAAAGAAAAAAGAAAAAAGAAAAAAGAAAAAAGAAAAAAG